AAAAGUGUGUGGUCUGCAGUGGCCAUAGGGACCCCGGAAACGCGCCGCGCGUGUCGCCAGCGCGCUGCAGCUUCCAGGAAGCGGAACGAAUGAAGUUCAUUUCUCACAGCUGGUGAUGGCGGAUGCUGUCGAAAUAGAGACCAUGAAGAAUUAUAACAUAGCGUUUGAGAGGAUAGACCCGAGCAUAAGCCGCUAUCCCUACUGUAUUGUAUGGACGCCAAUCCCUGUGUUAUCAUGGCUGUUUCCAUUCAUUGGCCACAUGGGCAUCUGCACCUCCACUGGAGUGAUCCGUGAUUUUGCAGGUCCAUACUUUGUCUCAGAAGACAACAUGGCGUUUGGAAGACCAACAAAGUACUGGAUGUUAGAUGCAAGUAAAGUAUAUGCCAGUGGAUCUAACGUGUGGGACACAGCAAUUCACAAUGCAUCAGAAGAGUAUAAACAGAGAAUGCACAACCUUUGUUGUGACAAUUGUCACUCACAUGUUGCCAUGGCACUGAACUUGAUGCGCUAUGACAACAGCACCUCGUGGAAUAUGGUGAAUCUCUGCCUACUCUCACUCAUUCAUGGCAAACACGUCAGUUGCCUAGGCUUCCUGAAGACCUGGCUUCCAUUCUGCAUCUUAACCAGCGUCAUCCUGGCUGUUGCCCUGUCUCUAAACCUGCGAUGACCGCGCAGGAUCAGAUAGAGGUGGGGCGGCUCAGGGUGAGUGGGCACAAAGUCCAGUGCCCAUCGGGGACCCAUUUCUUCAGCUUAAGGGGGACUCCAAUGAAUGUCAACUUGAAGUCCAGCUCUUCAAAGCGUAGAGGAGCUCAACAUCAAAAAUCAAAUGCUAAACCUCUUUGUCGUAGGGUAGAGACAGCAAAUACACCAUGGCUUCAACGUCUUGUGGUGAUUAUUGCCAAGAGCAGCAGGUAGCCAAGUGUCUUGAGCUCUUUGGAGACUCUUCAGAUGGGCUGCUGUGUGUGAGGAGUGUGUGGCCCCUGCUGGCACCGGCUAGAGCUGAUCAGAUUAGAAAGCCUGUGUGAAGUGUGACGUUCUUACCGACGGCUUUCCUGUCUUCAAAGACGUGAACUAGUGGAUCAGAAGCGCAUUUGACUGUUUUAAUAGUCACUGCAGCCCAGUACUUCCCAUUUCCUGUUUGUAAUCCCUAAAGAUGAGGGCAUUCCACAGGUUUAUACUUUUAUAAAACAUUCAUUCAUUCACUGAAAUCUUUCUAUGGUUAUAAUAUCUAUGUAAAAUGUUAAAUUCACAUGCCACUUUCCACAAAUAGGGUACAAAAGCGCCUGAAAUUAAAUAUAAAAGAUUUUAUUUUCCAUGUUACAAAGUGAUAAAAGAUUUUAUUUUCCAUGUUACAAAGUGGCACUUACAUUUUUUGAUAGAUUUUUGGCAUUAGAACAGUUUAAUUAGCAGAUUCCAUAACUAUCCAUAUCUUAUCUAUGCGUAAAAAUGAGCUGCAAAUGUUUUCCUUUCAUGCACUGCUGUUAAGCUCAGCAUUACACUACCUUUGCACAAUUACUAACACAUAGACUUUUAAUAUUCACAAAACUAUCACCUCAAACCUUCUGCAGCUGCAUUAGUGUGUUUGAAUUAGCGUGUGUGCGUGUGUGCGUGUGUGCGCGUGCGCGCGCGUGUGUGUGUGUGUGUGUGUGUGUGCGCACGUGAAUGUUUGCUUAUUAGCAUGUUCUCUAUAAGCCAGUACGCAUGUGUCUGUUACUGAGAAAGUAUGAUAUUGGUGAUUAGUAUUUAACACUUGAUAGUUCUGGGUUUCUUAUUUAUUGCUAAUAAUCAAAUGUAUUUUAAUAUCAAGUUAUUAGAAUCUUUGUAAUAAUAUAUUUUGCCUUCUAGAGAACUGGCUGCAUGUAUUUUGCCCUCUGGCUGUAGUAUGUGUGGUAUGUUGAGUGUUCUAGAUAAAUAAGAGAGGCAGAAUGCUUCUUUUUUUUUUUAACCCUGAAUAACGUCAACCAUUCAGUAAAGCACAUGGAACAACUAGAAACAGGGUAAAAUAAAAACACUUCACAAGGCCUUUCUUACUCCAGAUGAGUUACCACUUAAUUUUAUAUUCAUAAGGCAAUAACCUUCUACACUAUUCUGUAUUCAAUAUAAGAAGGUGAAGAAAGAUGACUGUAUGCUUUAUCUGAUUUGUUUUUAUAAAUUGUGCAUCCGUUUAAAUUGGUCUUUCAUUGUCUUUUACUUUUCCUUUCUUUUACUCCAAAGCACCCAGUAAUGGGGAUUUUAAAUCGAGUUAUUGAGUUUGCACAAUUAAUUUCCUCAUAGCUGAGUCUGUGUCCAUAGCAAGACCACCAAUGGCAAAAGCCAAUAUCCUGCCAUCAAAAACCAAUGGAAACGUAAAAUCAUCUUCUAUGUCAUUUAAAGUUCCCAGUUUUGUAUAAUUAUCAUCAAAUUUCAAACAGAUUCUGCCAACAAUAUAAUGUAUGAUAUUUAAUGUCCAUGCAUUAUUGAUAUCAAUAAAAAAUGUUUACUAUUACUAUAUACAA